UGCGAAAGGCCAUGACAGCAGCUGUUAACCAAGAGCAACGGACUGGGGCCUCCAUCCUACGCUUAUUCUUUCAUGAUUGCUUCGUGAAUGUAAGAACCCUUUUGCAUUUCAUCAAAGCAAGCACAAAGGCAAUUGAUAAAAUGAUUAGGAAACUACUAUAUAUUAUUAUUCAUGUACCAUUGUUUAUCCUUUUGUCUUGGACCCUAUCUUUGGGUCGGUUAUUACAACGAGUUCAAAUUCAAGCACUAUAUUAUAUCUGAGGCUCGAAUGCUCAUCAUCAAGUUUGAUCGAGUUUAAAUGAAUUUUAAAUUGUGUGUGUGUGUCUAUAUAUAUAAUUUAUUAUAUUUACUAAUAUGAAUCGUAUAUUGUGUUCUUUGUCUAUUAUUAUAUAUAGUAUUAAUUUAUAUUACUUGAACUUGAUUGAGUUGAUUUCAAGUUCAAUUAAACUAAAAUGAAAUUAAACUUGAGUUCAAAUAUUUUAACUCAAUCAAUUUCGCACUGUGCGAGUUCCACUCUUUUUCAUCCCUACAAUAAGCUAUUCUUUGAAAUAAAAAUGUAGACUGCAGGAUUCUAUGCAGUUGGUGUUUUUGUCGAAGGCAAAAAUCUAUCGUACCUGGAUCAUUUCAUGGCUAGAAUUGGAAUUUCUUUAGACUUCGGAUUUCAAGACUCGAGUUCGACAAUCAUUGCAUCCUUGAAAUCCUUGUUCAAUAUUUCCCACGUCUUUUUAUGAACAACCGAUUGUAAACACCAGAGCAUGCAUUACUUUAUGUCGGCAGUCGGCAGACCAGCUGUCACGCCAGCUUUUAUCUUUGGUAUUCUAGGG
rnacentral:lncRNA from 1 species